CAAAAUUUAGUGUUUCUGUGGCAUGUAGACAGUAGACAGAUGAGUUAUCUUUACUACUUCAGCAUCACAUUGGUACAAACGUAUGCUAUCAAUUCUAUGCAUGUUUCUUGUGCAUUGGCAGUCAUGACUUCCAUCAACAUCCGAUAGUCAUAGAAGAUACUCUAUAUGAUGGAAGUCCUACCCUUGGCACUAAACUGCAGCUUAGGGACCAUAAAGAAAUCCUUCCUUUUCCAUGUAAGUUAGGUCUCAACCAGAUCUUCCUCUAAAUAAAAGUUUUCAUGUUCUUAGGUAAUUCAUGCAAGAUUGUAGAUUUGUUUACAGAACACUUGUGUUCAUGACCCUGUGAACCAAAUUCUAAUGCAUUCUAUGGAAUAACAGAUCCAAAGGGCAAGAUAGAAGUUAGGCCCUGAUCAUUACCUAUUCCAUGUUUCUUCUCAUUUGACUUGGUUGAUGCAGCUGGAGGUUUGAAUGCAACCCAUGCUCUGCUGGUGUUAUACGAGGUAUGCAAAACCAAUCUUUUGAUUGUUCUCAGAAAUGUAGGUUGAUUAGAACUGAAAUAAUUCCUAGGCUACUGUAUGGAGGUUCUGCCAGAAGCUUUUUCUAGCCUUUUGAUGUUUUAUAUCUAAUACUUAAAUAGUGAAACUAAGAUGCAUAAUUAUUUUUGCACUGUUUCCAUUCAGUGGCAUAUGUACCAGUGGAGGAGGGGGACCCAAGUCACCAGUUUUAUCACACAAACUAAUAUAGUGUUGCCAAUUUAAGUUUGGAACAUGGCUUCACAUGGCUUUGGCAUUGCUUAGAGUUUUGGACAUGCAUUCUAUUGUUGUGUCAUCUACUCUAUCCUUUGUGUCUCAGCUAUGUUUUCCAGCUACAG
rnacentral:lncRNA from 1 species